CUGAUACUGUAUUGUUGCGCGUACGUGACUGAGACUUCGCUGUCGGUUGUUUCUUCUAGUUAUCAUAUUCCUUUUAUUCUUGGUAAAAUAACAAUAUCCGCCUUGCUCCUUGAUCGCAAACAAUAUUCUAAGUCGAAGACCACAAGUCGUACAGUUAGCUUCUGUCGGAACCUCCUAAGUCACAGUAUUAUCUACGACGACGCAAUGCUUCAUUGGAGAUUUUUAGAAACAAAUAUUCCCACAAGGUUUGCAAACGGUGUGAAUAAUAAUCCAGAUGGUCACGCGUUCAUCAUGGAUUAGUCGCAAUGCACACGGUUCGCAAUUUGAAAAAUUGCAUCUUACGCUGCGAAUACUACUUAUCUAACCAUACCGUGCAUGGCAGAGACAGCCUAGUUUUGAAAUAUCCACCGCAUGGUUAAAUCCGGAUUCCGUCACGGUUCGAAAAUCGUAGGCCUGCACUAGAGAAGUUGACACAGGACUGGAUGAUGCGACUUUGUGAAAAUUGCGUCAGAUUAUAUUUUGUUCUGAAACCAUAACCAGCGUUUAACUUUCUACCUUCAAAGCGGGAGCUAUCUAUUUGUACGUGAAUUUAAAGCCGUUUUGUUGCUUUGAUUUUACGAAAGUUUGAAAUUUUGAUAUUCAUUUACAAUAAAUUCAUAGUUUCAAAAAUACCUCUCGUUUUUGUAGACGAUGGAAAUUAAAUUUUCUAAUUAUUUUCUUUUUUAAGCUUUAUUUAUCUAGUACAGUUCGAAAAAUUUUACACGAAAUGUUACCAUGAACCUUUAAGAUGUGACAUAAUUUUCUGACAACCUAUCUAUGUAUGAUUUGACAAUUCGUAAGUUCUCAAUCAAAUUACUCAGAGAACGAUCUUUCAUUAUAUCGUACAGUUGCAUUAUACAGUAUAUUUUAAUAUAUUUUAAAAAGAAUAAUAUUAUAAUACUUGUCUUUAUGAUAUUUUGGUGAAUAAUGGGCUUUACUGCUAGAAGUAACUUUCGAGAAGAGUCUUUAAACUUUAAACAACACGAACUUAAAUAUCUUUUAUAUACAAAAUCUAACUGGAAAUACGAUAUUGGAGCACACAGACAAAUCAUUCCAAUUUUCUUGUUGCCACUAUAAUAAGAUCACGUUAAUUAUACAAUGGGCAAUGCUUCUCCCAAAACAAGUAA